rnacentral:rRNA from 1 species
CCUACGGGUGGCAGCAGUGAGGAAUAUUGGUCAAUGGGCGCGAGCCUGAACCAGCCAAGUCGCGUGAGGGAAGACGGUCCUAUGGAUUGUAAACCUCUUUUGUCGGGGAGCAAAAGACGCCACGCGUGGCGUUCCGAGAGUACCCGACGAAAAAGCAUCGGCUAACUCCGUGCCAGCAGCCCCGGUAAGACGGGGGAUUCGAGCGUUUUCAGGAUUUAUUGGGUGUAAAGGGUGCGCAGGCGGAGGAUCAAGUCAGCGGUAAAAUUGAGGGGCUCAACCUCUUCGAGCCGUUGAAACUGGUCUUCUUGAGUGAGCGAGAAGUAUGCGGAAUGCGGGGUGUAGCGGUGAAAUGCAUAGAUAUCACGCAGAACUCCGAUUGCGAAGGCAGCAUACCGGCGCUCGACUGACGCUCAUGCACGAAAGUGUGGGUAUCGAACAGGAUUAGAUACCCUUGUAGUC